UCGUUGGUGUGCUGUUCGCCUGUUCCCCUAUUCAGCUAUUCGUGCACGGAGAAGAAGGGAGGCGAAGAGAGGGGGCACCGUCGGACGGCGGCUCAUCACGCCAUCGGUAGGGUUUCGGCGAUCCCAUGGCCAGGCGCCACCUGCCCCUUUCCUGCUCCCGCGCCGCGACCAUCCGCCUCCUCCACUUCACCACCUCCUCCCGCCACACCACCUCCUCGGCGACUACGACGACUACCGCUACCCUUCCCGCCUGCCACCCGGCCACCCCCGACAUCUUCCAGGAGUCGCCGCCACCGCAUCUCCGCCAUUUUGUGGGCCACGGCCACAACGGCACCGAUGUCCCCAUGCCACAUUGCCACCCCAGCCGCAUGUGGUGGCAUCGCUGGAGGAGCGGCUUGGCGCGGAGAUGGACGAGGCGCAUGUGCUGCUUGCGCAGGACCAGCGGUUGACGCACAUGGCGCUCGUGCAGGAGGUCGCUGCCGCGCGGCGCGAUCUCGGCUGCACCGCGCACGAGCUCACCUCCGCUCAUGAGGAGAGCGACCAAUGCCUUCACGAAUCACGAGGCGUGGUCACUCCCCCUCACGAGCUUACGGGCUGAAUGCAUCUUCUUUUCUAUGCGUUGCAAUUCUGGGUACUUAUCUGGAAGCAGCUUGCUCCAAUUGAACCAGAAAUUGAAGUUGUCCAUAUCCCUAGAGGAACAUGUUUGUUUGGUGUCUAUACAGUCCUAAUUUUCUCCCAGUCUUGCAAAUUUCGGGCUAAACUUGAAAGCAGAUACAUUAAACAACCUAGAUACUGCAGAAUACAUGCUUAUGUGUAUGUAUUAUGUAGGUCAUCUUCCUUCAUGUUUGGUGCACUGUGCUCAAAAUUUUAACAUGUCCCAUAUUGUUUUUCUCUCUCUUUUUACCAACAUCAUGUGAACCCACUCCUUUUUUUGUAACCACGAAAUUAACUUUGUGUAUUUUGCUUGCAAAACCAAUUCAAGUUCAAUUAUGCUAUAAUUUUUAAUUAUAGUUACACUUGUAUGUAUGUGCAUUUUCCAUGAAAUUUCAUAGUUUUGCAUUAAUCGUAGGUUUGAAACUGCAUUAGCAUAAUUGCAGGAAUACAUUGGAUUUCAUGUUUUAUCUUGAUGUAACGCCCCAUUUUUUCGAGCCAAUACAUGCAUGUUAACAUUAUGUAAAUUCAUGUAAAUAGGAACCCGCCUGACUUAGUUCAAUAAGAUAGUUCUGUUCGUUUCAAAUAUAUUUAUGUUUUAUCUUGAGGUAAGGCCCCAUUUUCUGGAGGUCGUCUUUGGACAUGUACAAACAAUCUCAACCUAUGUUGAAAAAGUUUUUAUUCAAUUAGUGCUAUCCCUAUCCUAUAACAUAUGUCAUCAUUCUGGACUCGAUCCCAUCUUGUAUGGACAUAAAUCCAACGCAAGAUACACAAUUUUGCAACACUUAUAUAUUGAACAUGUUGUCUUUUUUGUAGGCCAACAUUUUGCACCAUACAACAUAGCAAGCUAAUCGCUAUCCUAUAAAAUUUGUCUUUUAGUUUAUGUGGUAUCCUCUUGUCAUAUAGAAUGUCAGGUACUUGACGUCACUUCAUCCACCCUGCUUUAGUUCUAUGCCUAACAUCUUCAUCAAUAUUCUUGUCUCUCUGUAGCAUUGAUCCUAAAUACCUAAAGUGUCCUUCCUAGGCAUUACUUGACCUUCCAAAUGUGUAGUAGUGCCGAAAUCACAUUUCAUAUAUUCGGUUUUAAUUCUACCGAGUCUAACAUCCAAAAUAAUUUUAAUAGGUCUAUGAGAGGUCAAUGAAGAUGGAAGUGGAGCUUCGGGCAGUACAUGAAAUGAGAGCUGAGCUUGCACAAGUUCGUAUGGACAUUCAAAACCUUGGUGCAAUGAGGCAGGAACUCAUGGGCCAAGUUCAGGGAUUAACACAGGAUUUGGCUCAGUCGGCAGAAGAUUUGCAUAAGGUGUCUGCAUUACAAGCUGAAACCCAGGAGAUCAAACAUGAAACACAACAUUUGAGGUACAUGCUAUUAAAUAUGUGAUCUACUCUUUUGAAUAUAGAAGGUCUAAGGAUUUUCCACAUGCAAACAAACUCGUUAUUAAUGAUGCACAAGAGAAGCAAUGAUACGCAACUCUCAUGCCUAUUCAAGGAAAAAAUACAAAUCAUUAUUAAUGUUUUAUCUGCUCUUCCCUGCUUUGCCUUACCUCUUCCUAGUCAGCAUUAUGAGUAAACAUUGUCAUUUUUCCCUUUUCACCUGGUCAAAAUGUUAAACUAGUCAAAACACCCUCCACUCCAAACUGGAUUGGUAAGUUCAAAAAAGGAUUUAGUGGAAUUUUGAUUUUCUGCUGAGUAAUAGAGAGGUGAAUUUGCAACGAAUACCUUUGCUUUUAUUCAAUCGUCUGGUAUUUAUUAUGAGCCAAUAUGCAGAUCUGGUAUUGAGCUUGAGAAGAAAGGAUAUGCACAGAGUUAUGAGCAGGGACAGGACAUGCAGAUUUUUUUAUUUAUUUCAGUGGCUUCUUUUUAUCGAACGCGCAGGAGAACUGCGCAUCUUAUAUAUUAAGAAAAAGGAGAAAGAGGUCUAAAAUAGACCCAGUACAAGCUGCCAAAAAAAAUAUAUCAAGACAGAAAAAAGAAAAGGGGGGGGGGGGUAUCCAAACAACCCCCAGCCACACCAGCACCUAAGGCCACAAUCUCCUAAGAUCUCUUGCCCCUGCCAAGCCCCACCGAACAGCAUCCUCAUGAAUAUGCUGCAUGAUGAUGCUGAUGUUGGGGGAUGCACCAUCAAACACACAUUCAUUUCUAUGCUUCCAUAGCCACCAAGCCACCAGAAUCACUAAGGAAUUAAAUCCUCUUUUCUGGUUUUUUGGCACCUGGCACUCAGCUUCUCUCCACCAGUCUUGGAAGGUCGUUGUUGCCAAUCCUGGAGUCAGGCGAUGCAGCCCUACCUUAUGCAAAGUCUGCCACCAAGUGUCUCUGGCAAACACACAAGCCACUAAGAUAUGCUGAACUGUUUCCUCCUGCUGGUCACAAAGGGGGCACCUAACAGGAUGCUCAAGACCUCGUCUGCUUAAUCUAUCCGCUGUCCAGCAACGAUUUAGAGAAGCCAACCAAAUGAAGAAUUUACACCUUGGGGGGGCCCAACUUUUCCAAAUUCUAGUAGCUGGCUCAAAAGAGACUGAACCAGCCAUAAAACGAUCAUAUGCCGAUUUAGUGGAAUAAUCUCCAGAUGCAGACGGGGACCAUCUAUGCACAUCAGGAAUCCCCGGAUGUAACUGAAAACCUUGCACUAGGUCCCAAAUUACUAAGAAGUCGAAGAUAAUCUGAGCUGACAGGCUGCCAGAUAUGUCAUUAACCCAUCUAUUGUUUACCAAGGCUUCUUGCACAGAUCUGCUUUUCUUGAUUCUCACUGUAAUAUGGCUGACCAAAGUGGGGGCAAGGACAGAUAUUGAUUGCCCAUGAAUCCAGCGAUCAGUCCAGAACAGGGUUCGAGAGCCAUCACCUACAGUAGUGUGGACCGAGGCAGAGAAAAGAGCUUUGACAUUGGAAUGAACCUUGAACAAGAAAUCUGCCCAGGGCCUUUCCGGUUGAGUUUUUUUGAGCCAAAGCCAUCUUAGAUUUAAAGCCCAACCAAGAACUUCAAGGUUAUGGAUACCCAGGCCACCCAUGCUAAGUGGUCUGCAAACUCUUGCCCAACCAAUAGAGCAGUGACCACCUCUGAUAUCUUUUCUGCCUUUCCACAAGAAACCCCUCCGAAUUUUGUCAAUAGCCUUGAUCACCCAUUUAGGGCAUUGAAGCACUAUAAGGUGAUGGAUAGGAAUGGCUGUGAGCACUGAUUUAACCAAGGUCAGCCGGCCUGCUGUGUGAAUGAGGGCAGAUUUCCAUCCGGUUAGUUUAUCAGCUAUCUUGUCAAUGAGUUCUAGAAAAGUGUUUUUGGGGAGUUUCUUGACUGAAAGGGGUAAACCCAGGUGUGGAGAAACUUCGAGCUGAGGUUGGUAACGCGUAGAAGAGGUCACGGGCCAUUGUGUCUUCAGGCAAUCAAGGUAUGAUCUGAGUGGGUUGUUAUUUUUUUUAGUACAUCGCUUGCUUCUGUUCCGAACGUCUGCUACUUAUAUAUGAUGAAUUAGGUGAGAUGACCUUGACAACAAAACUAGCCAAGUGUCAAGAUAAUGCUCCAAACAAUUGCUUCUAGAGCGAUUGUGAAUUGGAGAUGUGAAAAUUCUAUAUGCUAAAACCUAACCCAGCAAUUGUGAAUUGGAGAUGUGAAAAUUCUGCACGCUAAAACCUAACCUAUACAUAGAUCAUGUUAAUGAGAAACUACCAGCCUGUUGUAAAAUGUGGUGUCGUGUUAACUGAUUAGUGAUCUGGCAUAAUAGGUGAAGUUGAUUAGCAAUCUGACAUAGUAGGUGAAGCUGUUUUGUAAUCUGGCAUAUUAGGUGUCGAGGAUUACUAGGUGAAGCUGAUUUGUCUCCUGCAGGUUAUAUUGGAAGCUAUGGGAACCCUAAGGCCAAUUAUGCUGCAAACCCUUUUAACUCUGGGUAUGGCAUUAAUCAAGCAAGUGCUGCCACUGAUUAUGGUUCCCAGUAUGGAACUGGUGCAGCGCAUGGUUCUUGGGUGCCUACGACUUGCAAAGGGCACCCGGACGUAGAUAAGUACUGCCAAUUUGCCAGGCCUUUCACCAAAGUGUACACAUAGCUUUGGCAAUGACUGUAUGAAUGUUGUGGUGGAUCAGAUGUUUAACGGAUAGGAAUCAGGUAGAUGAAUUGUACACAUGUUUACUUCAGUUUAGCUUCUAUCGGUCUGUGCAAAGGAACAUAUAUUUAUUGAAUCAAGCGUGAAUAUAUUG